UAUUGAUGCACAUUUUGUGAAACCAACCGUCGCAACCAUUCGCGUCACAUCCGAUAAACUAAAAUCCAUUUUUCUCCCAACCUGUCCUGCGACAAGUACAAUACAAUAAUUCUGCUUCGACAGUCUCGUGAGUCCUUGUUGCACGACUUGGAACUGAUGGGAAUGGAGUUAGUUUGCCGGAAUCCAUACACUGAACAAGGUGAUUGGAGGAGACUGGACAUACAACUUAGGACAUGCUCGUUUCUCCAUGGAUGGCCGGGACUGCUGUCAUACACCAGUACAUGUUCACGUUGAAUAAACCCUUUGGCAACUAAUACCCAGUGAUCCGAUCCGUCAUGAACGAUCUGCAACCAUUGAUCGCCCUUCGCUCGGGGGAAUUCAAGGCUGCCUCCAAUUGUACAGCAGAGCAGACCACCUAUUUCUGGAUGUUGCUUUUUCAGGAUUGCCUGCGCCUUGUUGAUGUCGCCUGACAUGAGUUUGUUCGUCUUUGUUAAUACUUGCGGCUUGUCCAAGAAAAGAUAGGGUUGUUUACUCCUGUCCCGUCUAUUUCGGAGGCAACCAUCAGUCGAAGACACAAGCUAUUAAAGGAAGUAAGGAAAUUCGAAUCAUUUUUCUGAAAUUCUUCCAAAUAUCAUUUUGUUACCUCUACAGAAUUAUCGGGUAAUGCAGUUGUGAUCAGUGUGACAUCGACAGGUGGAACAUCAGUGGUUGUGGUGAUGCUGAUGUCCGUUUUGUUUACAGGUGAAACUUCGCUGGGUGUAGUUGUGAUCAAUGUGUAGUUCUGAUCAAUGAUGGACACGUCCACUUCAUCGACUGGUGGAACAUCAGCGGCUGUGGUGAUGCGAACGUCUAUUUUGUUUACAGGUGAAACUACGCUGGGUGUAGGUAAUUCCUGAAGUUGUGAUGACGAAUCUUGAUUAUAAUAAUCCUUCAUGUGUUUUUCUUCCUCAGCCAAAAUUAGCGCUUCCUCCAUCUCUCUGCUCAUAAUUCCACCCAUCUAAACAAAAGCUUCACGUUCUUCUCAUUGCGUACACGCUUGGUCG